GAGAUUCACCUAACUUUAAAUGAUUUGGUGGGGCCAUUCUGAAUAGACAAUAACGAUUAGUCCUUUUUCUAAGGAGUAUCAUACAUUUCUAAGUGGAUUGUUUAUAUCUGAAUGUUUGUUGCUCAUCUCAAUUCACAUUAUAAGGUUAAGAUGUGGUUUUAUUUUAUGGUUUAAUUUAUGCUCACUUAUGCUAAUUGAGGCUUGGACUAGUAGUUUGUAAGGAGUAAACAGACUAUUUUUUUCAGAUAUUCAUAUUUUGAUCAUGGCUUAAUUGUACAAAUUGUCAUUUUUGAUAUUGCAUUGACCUUUUCCAAACAUAGCUAUUUUGUAUAAAGACUUACCUUUUUUUUAAAAAAAUCAUUUCUGCAUCUUCUUCUCUAUUUUCUUCAGUUGAGGUGUGGCUUAAACUACCUUUCAGUGGAAUAAAUACUGUGACCUCUCAGCUUCUGCCACAGCCACCGCCAAGGAGAUCCCCCUCAGAGCCCAGAAAACACACAUUCAUGAUGGCAUUGCCCAGGAACUAUGAAGUCUGUUUGGAUAUGAAGAACCUGAAACUUUUGUCUGCUCAGAUGGAAGCCAGGCUGGUGGCCACGUCAGGAAGAAUGCUUGAAAGCCUCGGAAUGUACAAAAUAAGGAUGGUGAUGAAAAGGGAAGGAUGAAAUAUUGCUUGGAGACUGUCAAGAUGAUGAUACAAUGACGGAGUAAGGAGGCUCAUCACAGUAUGCAAGAAGAGAAAGAAGAAAGUAAAUACUACGGUAAUGAAUUCUUUCCCUUUCCUGGUGGCAUUCCUAAAGAUGGAAAUCAAUAAAAGAAAAAAAUCUUUUUAAAACCA
rnacentral:lncRNA from 1 species